CAGCACCUCAAGUGGUCAGGAUGAUUAUUGGGCCUAAAGCAUCCGUAGCCGGCGCUGUAAGUUUUCGGUUAAAUCUGUAUGCUCAACAUACAGGCUGCCGGGAAUACUGCAGAGCUAGGGAGUGGGAGAGGUAGACGGUACUCGGUAGGAAGGGGUAAAAUCCUUUGAUCUAUUGAUGACCACCUGUGGCGAAGGCGGUCUACCAGAACACGUCCGACGGUGAGGGAUGAAAGCUGGGGGAGCAAACCGGAUUAGAUACCCGAGUAGUCC
rnacentral:rRNA from 1 species